rnacentral:lncRNA from 1 species
CAAGCACCAUGAUUUUUCAUAAGAAUUGAGUGUUGGUCAGUUGGAAGAUGGAGACAGUUUGAAACAGGUUGAGCGGUCGUCACCAUCGGCGAGGCUACGAAGUGGACGAACAACACUCCCUCUACGCAGGCAGGUAACCCCAUAUUCUUAAAUUCCAUGCUCUAUUCAACAGUUCUACAUUAAAUUCAUCAUCAAAAUUACAUAAAUCGGCGUAUCUGUUGUGUGUCAUGUAGAGCAAGUGUUUUUCCAUGAAAGAGUCAAAUACUGGCAAGAAGCUCACACUUUGAUGUGUACAUGAGGCUGAGGCGCUGAGCGAUUUUGAUGUUUGAGAAAAGUUCCUACAAACAAACUUGAGCUCUCAAAGAACUGCAAGUGUCUGAUACAUCGCCAAACCUAAUUAAGUUGUGUUGUAGGGUUCCUGCGGGCGGACAGCAAGAGGUACACGCACGGUGGAAGCAGGCAGGUGGUGGGUGCGGCGACAACUGCGAGCUGCAUGUCUCCGGCAGCUGCGUUGCCUUCUACGCUAGACAAUUAUAUUAUACAUCCGCUAAGGGUAACUACAAGGUGUUCUUCAUGGAGCUCAAUUGAGCUGAAUUAGUCGAGUUGUUGGGUAAGCUAACUAAGCAUCCUUUUGGAACUAUGCUUUCAUCACGUAUUUGAAAGAUAGCAGAACAUACAUUUCAUCCACAUGCAAAGAACUGAAGUAAUUAAAGAUAGUGUGAAUUAGUACAAUUUACUGCAGAUUCGAGAACUAUUGUUAACAUUGCAAUGGAAUACUUCAGAUUUAGUAGAAUUUGUUGUAAGGUAAUGAUAUUACGUAUAUAAAUGAUUGAAAACAAUUUAA